GACGAACGCUGGCGGCGUGCUUAACACAUGCAAGUCGAACGGAAAGGCCCUGCUUUUGUGGGGUGCUCGAGUGGCGAACGGGUGAGUAACACGUGAGUAACCUGCCCUUGACUUUGGGAUAACUUCAGGAAACUGGGGCUAAUACCGGAUAGGAGUUCCUGCUGCAUGGUGGGGGUUGGAAAGUUUCGGCGGUUGGGGAUGGACUCGCGGCUUAUCAGCUUGUUGGUGGGGUAGUGGCUUACCAAGGCUUUGACGGGUAGCCGGCCUGAGAGGGUGACCGGCCACAUUGGGACUGAGAUACGGCCCAGACUCCUACGGGAGGCAGAAGUGGGGAAUAUUGCACAAUGGGCGGAAGCCUGAUGCAGCAACGCCGCGUGCGGGAUGACGGCCUUCGGGUUGUAAACCGCUUUCGCCUGUGACGAAGCGUGAGUGACGGUAAUGGGUAAAGAAGCACCGGCUAACUACGUG
rnacentral:rRNA from 1 species